AUCUAAGCGGGAAGCCCCUUCCAAGAUGAGAUCUCCCUGAGGCCUUGAGCCUCCUGAAGAGCCGUUCAAGACCAGGACGUUGAUAGGUCGGGUGUGUAAGCGCUGCGAGGCGUUGAGCUAACCGAUACUAAUUGCUCGUGCGGCUUGACUAUAUAACACCCAAG
rnacentral:rRNA from 1 species